UGAACCACCCACCCCCCCCCGUCGGUCACGUUGCUGACGUGAAGGAUUCCCCUAAGGCAUUGACAGGGAACAGAGUGGUGAACCAGUGAGACACAGUGCUCCAGGACCAAGAGCACCACUAGAACCAGCACCAGAGUCCUGGAGGAUGGAAAGAGAGAGAGAGCGACACAGAGAGAGACAGAGAGACAGACAGAGAGACAGAGAGACAGAGAGAGAGAGAGAGAGUGAGAGUGUAUCGGUCCAUCGCUUCACUUCCCAUCAAAAUGAGCCGUCUGAGCCAAGAUGGGUUCUCCUUCUUCAGGAGGGCAUGCUGAGCAGUUUGGUCGAUUUAUUCGGGUAAUUGAUUGCGAGGCUGAUGGCCUCAAUGUUCU
ensembl:lncRNA